CAAUAGCGUAUAUUUAAGUUGUUGCAGUUAAAAAGCUCGUAGUUGGAUUUUGGGUCGGGGGCACCGGUCCGCCGUUCCGGUGUGCACUGGUGGCCCCUUCCUUUCUGCCGGGGACGUGCGUCGCACUUAAUUGGGUGGCGUUCGGAGUCGGCGUUGUUACUUUGAAAAAAUUGGAGUGUUCAAAGCAAGCCAUCGCUCUGAAUACAUUAGCAUGGAAUAACAUGAUAGGACUCCGGUCUUAUUUUGUUGGUUUCCGAGACUGGAGUAAUGAUUAAGAGGGACAGUCGGGGGCAUCCGUAUUUCAUUGUCAGAGGUGAAAUUCUUGGAUUUAUGAAAGACGAACUUCUGCGAAAGCAUUUGCCAAGGAUGUUUUCAUUAA
rnacentral:rRNA from 1 species